CGUGUGGGCAACCUGCCCUGUACUGUGGAAUAAUCAUUGGAAACGAUGACUAAUACCGCAUGUGGUCCUCGGAAGGCAUCUUCUGAGGAAGAAAGGAUUUAUUCGGUACAGGAUGGGCCCGCAUCUGAUUAGCUAGUUGGUGAGAUAACAGCCCACCAAGGCGACGAUCGGUAGCCGGACUGAGAGGUUGAACGGCCACAUUGGGACUGAGACACGGCCCAG
rnacentral:rRNA from 1 species